AUACGUAGGGGGCGAGCGUUGUCCGGAAUUACUGGGCGUAAAGGGUGCGUAGGCGGUUAAUUAAGUUGGAUGUGAAAUUCCCGGGCUUAACUUGGGAGCUGCAUUCAAAGCUGGUUAACUAGAGUUCAGGAGAGGGAAGCGGAAUUCCUAGUGUAGCGGUGAAAUGCGUAGAUAUUAGGAGGAACACCGGUGGCGAAGGCGGCUUUCUUGACUGACACUGACGCUGAGGCACGAAAGCGUGGGGAGCAAACAGGAUUAGAUACCCUGGUAGUCCACGCUGUAAACGAUGAAUACUAGGUGUAGGGGGUAUGAACUCCCUCUGUGCCGCAGCAAACGCAAUAAGUAUUCCGCCUGGGGAGUACGGCCGCAAGGUUGAAACUCAAAUGAAUUGACGGGG
rnacentral:rRNA from 1 species